rnacentral:ncRNA from 2 species
UACUUAUCCAGAGCGACCGAGGGACUAGGCCCUAUGACGUCCAGAAACCCCAAAUAUUAGGAAGGCGCCAAUCCGGCAGAAUGAUCUUCAUUCUGAAAGAUAAGUC